GUGCUCGCUUCAGGAGCACAUAUACUAAACUUGGAACGAUACAGAGAAGAUUAACAUGGCCCCUACACAAGGAUAACGCGCAAAUUCGUGAAGUGUCAAAAUAAAAA